rnacentral:misc_RNA from 1 species
GUCGUAACAAGGUUUCCGUAGGUGAACCUGCGGAAGGAUCAUUACCACACCGAUCCACGAUCUUUCUUCCCGCGAAGCGUCGUCCCGCGAUAGCUGGUGGAUUUGUUGUGUGGUGUCACUCGACUCAUGGUUGGGUGGCACCGCGUGACUGCCCACUGGUGGGACGGCAAACGAAAGUGCUGUCGAUGCAUGCAAGUGUGUCGAUGGUGCGCCCCGUCACUUUCACGACGUGAACCAGUCUUGACCCAAAGGAACUGAACCGAAAGGGGUUGAUGGCUGCGAACACGGCCAGCGACCCUAUCCAAAACUAAUACCUUACAACUUUCAGCGAUGGAUGUCUAGGUUCCCA